rnacentral:lncRNA from 1 species
GCGCUGUAAACGCAAACACAAGGACGACCGGAACGGUGAGGGAUGAGGAGUUCUUCUCCUCUAGCAUAAUUUUGAACAGAAUAUGCUGCAGCCAGAAGACGAUACUAGGACCUCAGGACCUAGGAUCAUAGCCCGGCAUAGUAGAGGUGAUUUCGCUGACCUUGCACUGCUUACCGUUGACUGGGUGGCCGGCCCAUGCGGGUAAUUAGGAGAACAAGUAAGUGCAUCGACUUUUAGGCCAGGGCACUGGCCGACAGCUUGUCAAUCGGCAUGCCCUGUUGCUAGCUAGAGGCAGUGAGAUUCACGGUUGCCAGAGCACAUGCAUUCAGGGAAUGCUGAACAGCAGGCGUCGUUAGAUGUGGAUGGAGUGUAUGUGUGCAUGGGGGUGGGAUAGAUGUGAUAAUGCCACAGAUAGAGGCGCACGGCAGGGCGGUGGCGGUGACGCUGCUGGCAAUGCGGGCAGCAGGAGGUGGUACCUGAAGCUGUGGCUUUGUGAAGUUGACACGGUAAGAAGGAGGAAAGCCUCGCUGCCUUUGACUUCCUGGUCGCGGCCCUCACCAGGCUGCGCUUUGAGGCGCUGUGCCUGCUAGGGCUGGUAGCGGUCCGCAUGUGCGAGGACGCACGACGAGAAGGUCAAGGCCUGCAGCCGCACUGCGCAACGUGUUGCCGGCUUCGGAAGACGGAGCUGGUGGAGGACGACAUGUACGCGGCGAUCUGCGCUGUGUCGGUGUGUGACCUCACCGAGCAGGGCCGGAAAAGGGGCCGGCCGUCCAAGCGAGACCAGCAUCCUGAGGACGACCUUUUCCGGCACGUCUACGAGGAGCACUUCCCGCGCGACGAGGAGGCCGCGGGGGCUCGCGUCAACAGGUCGGGCUUGACUCCCUUCCUGCCGCCAUUGUCGAAGGGCAUGUUUACCAACGUAAACAACCACUACGGCGCAAACUUCGCAGCCUGGCUGGCGCGCAGCUUUCGCUGCCGCAUCGACAACGAGCUUCGCGAGGUGGGGCAGGCGGAGGUGGGGCAGGCGGAGGCCGAAGGAAGCGGCGCCUUUACUAAAGUUUUUCUCCUUUCCCACGUUCCAUGUCCCGCAGCUUCGUACUCCAGCCACGGAAAAGCUGGACAAGCUGGCAUGGAGCAUGGCGCAUGCCGUGCUCAACGACGGCGAGUUAGAGCAGCCGCGCUGCUGGGCGGGUUGGGCCCAGGGCGCCGCCGCGCAAGUCGCGGGCGCGGCGGCUGCGGCGGCGGCACAGGGCGCCGGCCCUGCGGGUGUGGCCGCCGCCGCGCAAGCCGCGGGCGCGGCGGCUGCGGCGGCGGCACAGGGCGCCGGCCCUGCGGGCGGGGCCGCCGCCGCGCAAGUCGCGGGCGCGGCGGCUGCGGCGGCGGCACAGGGCGCCGGCCCUGCGGGCGGGGCCGCCGCCGCGCAAGCCGCGGGCGCGGCGGCUGCGGCGGCGGCACAGGGCGCCGGCCCUGCGGGCGGGGCCGCCGCCGCGCAAGCCGCGGGCGCGGCGGCUGCGGCGGCGGCACAGGGCGCCGGCCCUGCGGGCGGGGCCGCCGCCGCGCAAGCCUGGACCGCCCUGAUUGACUACGUCAACGCCCAGCGUGCGUCGAAAAGGGCCGCAGAGCUGUUGCUGCGGGAGGUCAAGGGGGCGCAGGCCACGUACAAGAAGGCCAGCACGCGGCACAUGGAAUGGGCCGCGGAGAUUCUCGCAGGCCUUGAGGCACGCCGCGAUCAGCUGGGGGCGCAGGUGCAGCAACUGACGCAGGCGCAGCCGUUGACGCGAGAGGACACGCAGCGGCUUGCGUCCUUGCGCCGGGAACUGCAUCGCGCACGUCCGUUCACGCUGACCCCCAGCCCCUCCUUCGCGCCGAUCUAUGUGCCCCUUGACAACACGUCCAUGGCCCGCCUUCCUGGGCUGCUGCCCACCCUGGCAAGGCGCCAUGGCGAGGUCUUCGCCGGUGCAGGCGCGGGCGCCGUGGCACCCUCCUCGUUUGUCCAGGCCGUGUUUGGCGGCGGGGGCAUGCAGUCGCCUGCCACGCUGAACGCCGUCGGCUGGGGCCUGUUCCAGCUCGGGGGUGUGACCUCCCGCAACGCCCCCUUCGCCAAUUACAUCACCACGGACGGGGUGGCCUGCAGCGUGGCGCGAGAAGCGCACAACAAGCCGCUGGCCAACUUGAAGCCGGCGACCGCGCCCGCCGAUGCGGAGGAGCUGUGCACUCUGGAGGAGAUGAAGGCCACGCAGAUCAUCGGUGUGGACCCGUGCGGGGGAGGUAAUUGGUUCAUGGCAGCACGGUCUCCGCUGUACCAGCCAGGGCCCUGGGCUUGGGAGGGUGUCAGGGAGGGUGUCAGCCCUGCCCAGCGCUCCCUGCUCGAGCUGCACGACAAGCAGCUGGAUGAGGAGUUGUUCCCUGGGCAGCUGCCGCCGGAGCCGCGUCGCAGGCGCAAGGGCGUCAGGCGCAAGGGUGGCGGGCGCAAGGGGGGCCACCGCCGGAAGCAAUCGAAGCACUGGCAGCCGCGAGCCAGGACAGCGCGGCGGCGGCGCCAGAAGCGGGGCCGAUUCCUUAUGAGCAUGGGCCACUGGCGGCACAUGUCAGGCCUGGAACGACUCCAGCCAAACCGCCCACAGCUUGCGCCAGCCCUGCAGGCGUACGUCGGCGGCAUCCCCACGGCGGCGACCGCGUCGGCGGCCCGGUUUGAAGAGCGCAUGCGCUACCUCUUCGCCAGUGGGGCGGCAGGGCAGGCGGCGGGGCAGGCGGAGGCGGCGGGGCCGGCAGAGGCGGGGCCCCGGGGCGCGGUGCACGUGCUGUGGCACUACCACUUCUCGGCCUUCCGCCGAAAGCGCUGGGCUGCGUUCAUCCAGCGCGACCGCGCGCUCCACCGCGUCGCCAAGCAGCUCACGGGCGGCAGGCCCAAGGAGGAGGUGGUGGUGGGGUGGGGUUCGUGGGCCUUCCAGGGAGGGAAGGGCGGCUCCCCCAUCUCCGUCAGGGGCGGGCGCGCGCCGACGGGGCGGCUCAUCAAGCUGCUCCGUGAGCGCUACGCCAAGCAUGUGUUCAUCAUCGAUGAAUACAAGACCUCCAAGGUGGGUGGGUUGAGUGGGAUUGCAAUUGCCGGUGGGUGGGUGGGCCGCUGGGUUUAUGCCUGGCUUUAGCGGAAGCCCUUGUGUGGCCCCCCUCCCUCCCACCCUCCCGACCAUGCAGACCUGCUACAACUGCGGGUGUCAGGAGAUGGCCAUCAAGCGGCUUGGGGGGCUGAAGGAGGGGCAGCGGCCCUGGUCGGUCAAAGUCUGCAACGACUGCUUGACGACCUGGGUGAGGACCGUGCAUGUGCGGGGACGGCUGGGCACUGGGGACGGAUUGAUUGACAGGUUGACGGUUGGGACAGCUCAUGUGCGCUCUCUUCUUCCUCCCCGUUCCCCAUCCCCAGAACCGCGACGUCUCCGCCGCCAACGUGAUCCGUGUGCUCCUCCUGCUGAAGCUGAUGGGCUUCGAGCGGCCGACCAAGCUGCAGCGGCCGCCAUGGCCGCCGGCGGCGGCGGGGCCGGGCUGAGAGCCUGAACGGCGCUAGCAGGGCGUGGGGCUGAGGGUGCACGUGUUGAUUGGCGGCGAGUGACGUGACUAGUUUGUUAGCUGCGGGUUAGCACGGACUGUGCACCCCACCCAACCGGCCACGUCCGGAUUUGCGGGGAUGCCAAAGGCCCCCAACAUAGAGGCGUGUGCUUAGUAGGCGCCCGCGUCAAGGUGGCUGGGUUGAUAACGACCCGGGAUCAGCCCUUUUCCUGCCUCCCUAAGGCAGCCACCUCCUUGUUGAACAGAAUAUGCUGCAGCCAGAAGACGAUACUAGGACCUCAGGACCUAGGAUCAUAGCCCGGCAUAGUUGAGGUGAUUUCGCUGACCUUGCACUGCUUACCGUUGACUGGGUGGCCGGCCCAUGCGGGUAAUUAGGAGAACAAGUAAGUGCAUCGACUUUUAGGCCAGGGCACUG